rnacentral:snRNA from 1 species
UUACCUACCUAGGGAGGGACAUACCACAAUCAGCUGGUCAAGUGUAGUUAUAGGGCAAGGCCUGUCCCUUGCACUCUGAGCAGGCUGACCCCUGCAAGCUUUUCCAAAUGCAGGAGACUUGACUGCACAAUUUUGUGGUAAUGGGGGACAGGGCUGGACACAGGCCUGGG